ensembl:snRNA U6 U6 spliceosomal RNA
GUGUGCACUUCAGCAGCACAUAUACUAAAAUUGGAAUGGUACAGAAAAGAUUAGCAUAACCCCUACUGGGCCCAUCUGGGUGUGAUGGCUCAUACUUGU